rnacentral:misc_RNA from 1 species
GAUGAAGAACGUAGCGAAAUGCGAUAAGUAAUGUGAAUUGCAGAAUUCAGUGAAUCAUCGAAUCUUUGAACGCAUCUUGCGCUCCUUGGUAUUCCGAGGAGCAUGCCUGUUUGAGUGUCAUUUCACCACUCAAGCCUGGCUUGGUGUUGGGCGACGUCCUCUUUGGGGACGCGCCUCGAAACGCUCGGCGGCGUGGCACCGGCUUUAAGCGUAGCAGAAUCUUUCGCUUUGGAAGUCGGGGCCCCGUCUGCCGGAAGACCUGCUCGCAAGGUUGACCUCGGAUCAGGCAGGGAUACCCGCUGAACUUAAGCAUAUCAAUAAGCGGAGGA